rnacentral:rRNA from 1 species
GAUGAACGCUAGCGGCAGGCCUAACACAUGCAAGUCGAGGGGCAGCACGGGUGGCAACACCUGGUGGCGACCGGCGCACGGGUGCGUAACGCGUAUGGAACCUACCCUCCGCAGGGGGAUAGCCCGCCGAAAGGCGGAUUAAUACCCCAUGGCUCCGAAGUCCCGCAUGGGGCGACGGAUAAAGCUACGGCGGCGGGGGAUGGCCAUGCGUGCCAUUAGCUGGUUGGCGGGGUAACGGCCCACCAAGGCGACGAUGGCUAGGGGGUCUGAGAGGAUGGUCCCCCCANACUGGUACUGAGACACGGACCAGACUCCUACGGGAGGCAGCAGUGAGGAAUAUUGGUCAAUGGGCGAAGCCUGAACCAGCCAUGCCGCGUGCAGGACGACGGCCCUACGGGUUGUAAACUGCUUUUUCUGCGGGAAGAAUAACCCCCUCGUGAGGGGGGAUGCCGGUACCGCAGGAAUAAGGAUCGGCUAACUCCGUG